UACGGAGGGUGCGAGCGUUGUCCGGAAUCAUUGGGCGUAAAGGGCGCGUAGGUGGCGGGACAAGCGUGCGGUGAAAGCCUGGGGCUCAACCCCGGGUCGGCCGUGCGAACUGUUUUGCUUGAGCACUGUAGAGGCAGGCGGAAUUCCGGGUGUAGCGGUGGAAUGCGUAGAGAUCCGGAAGAACACUGGUGGCGAAGGCGGCCUGCUGGGCAGUAGCUGACACUGAGGCGCGACAGCGUGGGGAGCAAACAGG
rnacentral:rRNA from 1 species